CAGAGGUCCCAAGCGUUGUUCGGAUUUACUGGGCGUAAAGGGUGCGUAGGCGGUUGUUUAAGUCUGACGUGAAAUCUCCGGGCCUAACCCGGAAACUGCGUUGGAUACUAUUCAACUAGAGGAAUGGAGGGGAGACUGGAAUACUUGGUGUAGCAGUGAAAUGCGUAGAUAUCAAGUGGAACACCAGUGGCGAAGGCGAGUCUCUGGACAUUUCCUGACGCUGAGGCACGAAAGCCAGGGGAGCAAACGGGAUUAGAUACCCCGGUAGUCCUGGCCCUAAACGGUGCGCGUUUGCUGUAAGUGGAAUCGACCCCACUUGUGGCGUAGUUAACACGUUAAACGCGCCGCCUGGGAAGUACGGCCGCAAGGUUG
rnacentral:rRNA from 1 species